GAAGGAUCAUUACCUAGAGUUGUAGGCUUUGCCUGCUAUCUCUUACCCAUGUCUUUUGAGUACCUUACGUUUCCUCGGCGGGUCCGCCCGCCGAUUGGACAAUUUAAACCAUUUGCAGUUGCAAUCAGCGUCUGAAAAAACUUAAUAGUUACAACUUUCAACAACGGAUCUCUUGGUUCUGGCAUCGAUGAAGAACGCAGCGAAAUGCGAUAAGUAGUGUGAAUUGCAGAAUUCAGUGAAUCAUCGAAUCUUUGAACGCACAUUGCGCCCCUUGGUAUUCCAUGGGGCAUGCCUGUUCGAGCGUCAUUUGUACCUUCAAGCUCUGCUUGGUGUUGGGUGUUUGUCUCGCCUCUGCGUGUAGACUCGCCUCAAAGCAAUUGGCAGCCGGCGUAUUGAUUUCGGAGCGCAGUACAUCUCGCGCUUUGCACUCAUAACGACGACGUCCAAAAGUACAUUUUUACACUCUUGACCUCGGAUCAGGUAGGGAUACCCGCUGAACUUAA
rnacentral:rRNA from 1 species